rnacentral:rRNA from 1 species
UAACUACGUGCCAACUCCCGCGGUAAUACUAUGGGUGCAAGCGUUGAUCCGAAUUACUGGGCGUGAAGCGUACGCCUACGGUUUGUUAAUCGAGAUGUGAAAUCCCCGGGCUCAACCUGGGAACUGCUUUUCGAACUGUCAAACUACAGUAUGAUAGAGGGUGGUAAAAUUUCACGUGUACCGGUGAAAUGCUUAGAAAUCUUAAGGAAUACCGAUGGCGAACGGAGCCUCCUGGGUCAAUACUGACGCUCAUGUACGAAAGCGUGGGAAGCAAACGGGAUUAUAUACCCCGGUAUUCCACGUCGGAAACGAUGUCUACUAUGAGCUGGAAUCUUCGGAUGACUUUUCCAAAGCUAACGCAUUAAGUAUACCGCCUGGGGAGUACGUCCGCAAGGUUAA